rnacentral:rRNA from 1 species
UACGUAGGGGGCAAGCGUUGUCUGGAAUUAUUGGGCGUAAAGAGCGCGUAGGCGGUCCGAUAAGUCGGCUGUGAAAGUCAGGGGCUCAACCCUUGGAAGCCGGCCGAUACUGUCGGACUAGAGUCCGGAAGAGGCGAGUGGAAUUCCCGGUGUAGCGGUGAAAUGCGCAGAUAUCGGGAGGAACACCAAUGGCGAAGGCAGCUCGCUGGGACGGUACUGACGCUGAAGCUCGAAAGCUAGGGGAGCAAACGGG